UUGAACGCUGGCGGCAGGCCUAACACAUGCAAGUCGAGCGGAUGAAGGGAGCUUGCUCCUGGAUUCAGCGGCGGACGGGUGAGUAAUGCCUAGGAAUCUGCCUGGUAGUGGGGGAUAACGUCCGGAAACGGGCGCUAAUACCGCAUACGUCCUGAGGGAGAAAGUGGGGGAUCUUCGGACCUCACGCUAUCCGAUGAGCCUAGGUCGGAUUAGCUAGUUGGUGGGGUAAAGGCCUACCAAGGCGACGAUCCGUAACUGGUCUGAGAGGAUGAUCAGUCACACUGGAACUGAGACACGGUCCAGACUCCUACGGGAGGCAGCAGUGGGGAAUAUUGGACAAUGGGCGAAAGCCUGAUCCAGCCAUGCCGCGUGUGUGAAGAAGGUCUUCGGAUUGUAAAGCACUUUAAGUUGGGAGGAAGGGCAGUAAGUUAAUACCCUGCUGUUUUGACGUUACCAACAGAAUAAGCACCGGCUAACUUCGUG
rnacentral:rRNA from 1 species